AUUACUUUGGCAGAUUAGUGUAUUGAAUUUAGAAUUCAAAUAUGUUAUUAUUAACAAGUAAUA
rnacentral:tRNA from 2 species